rnacentral:lncRNA from 1 species
GUUGACAUGUCGUCACUUAAUUUUUUUUUAAAUCUGAGAAGCGUGAGUUUGUCAUAAUUGUUUAUCUAGACAUAGGAUAGAUUGUGUGAAAAUAUUACUGAUGUUUAACGUUAAAAAUGGACCAAAAGAUUAAUGCUAAACAACGUUUGACAUGUUUGAACGAACGUAAAUAGAUUAUUUACUAGUUUUUUUUAGCUUUUCGGCGUGAUUUACGCCCCCCCCCACCACGUUUUGUGGGAGCAUAAUGAACGCUAACUACUUGGUGUUAUUUGGACAUAAAUUAUGAACUUUGUCAAAAGAAACCACAUUUGUUCUGGAACUGGGAUUUUUGGCAGUGCCUUCUGAUGGAGAUAAUCAAAGAAGACAUUGGGAUCAGGGAAGGAGGGAUAGUGAACCGGGCCGUCCGCACCAGAAGACAUUGGGAUCUGUAACGUCGUUGGUCGGAAGCCAAAAUGUUGCCAUCGAUAGAGGUGAUGCAACGAGUCAAGAUGUUCUCCAAGUUGGAACAGGAGGAAGAGGAAGAAGAAGAGGAGGAAGAGGAGACGCUUUUGGAAUCUGAAAAACACCUGACAGGACACCAGACUCCAGAAACAUUCCAGAAGGUGGAACACUGUCAUCUUUAGAACACUGUCUC